rnacentral:rRNA from 1 species
AGAGUUUGAUCCUGGCUCAGAUUGUACGCUGGCGGCAUGCCUUGCACAUGCAAGUCGAACGGCAGCACGGGUGCUUGCACCUGGUGGCGAGUGGCGAACGGGUGAGUAAUGCACCGGAACGUACCCAGUAAUGGGGGAUGACACAUCGAAAGAUGUGCUAAUACCGCAUACGCCCUGAGGGGGAAAGCGGGGGAUCGUAAGGCCUCGCGUUAUUGGAGCGGCCGAUGCCGGAUUAGCUAGUUGGUGAGGUAAGAGCUCACCAAGGCGACGAUCCGUAGCUGGUCUGAGAGGACGACCAGCCACACUGGGACUGAGACACGGCCCAGACUCCUACGGGAGGCAGCAGUGGGGAAUUUUGGACAAUGGGCGCAAGCCUGAUCCAGCCAUGCCGCGUGAGUGAAGAAGGCCUUCGGGUUGUAAAGCUCUUUCGCAAGGAAAGAAAACUUAUCUACUAA